rnacentral:lncRNA from 1 species
UUAUUUUAAUAAGGGAACCAGGCUGUCGAUUCGAACUCCUGUGCAUUGAUGUCAGAGCUUGUGAAACCAAUGGUGGACGUAAAGACGCAGAGAAAGGUAGAGAGGGCCACAGUGCAAGGGGGCAGCCAUGAGUAGCAUGUGGAUGAUAAUCGCAAGGCGUGUAGGUUUGGGGUAUGUGUUAAAAUCAGUUACCCAAGUUUUAGAAAAUAAGUUUAUUUUUCCUUUUUGAUAAUUUCCUUCUGUACUUUGUGUCCCUUGUUUUAUUUCUCCCACUUAAGUAUCCCUGUCGGUUUAACUAUUUGGCUCUUGAGGAAAUUCAUCAUGCCUUGUUCUAUUCAGAAUGCUCAUUUGGGGGACUCUGCCUCAGUUUACUCUAGCUACCUCUGUGCUAGCAGCGUUGCAUGCUCCCAUGUUCCCCACAGAGCAACACAUCUGGUUUAAUGCUCUCACUGCAUCUAUUUCAGACCCAUUUUCAGAAUAUUGCAACUCAACUUUAAAAUAGGAAAACAUAACCUUGGCCCAUUGGUGGCUUUCAAUUUUUAAAUAUGGAGAAGUAAACCACAGGAC